AAAUAAAGUCUUUUAACAGGGGGCCAUAGUCCAGAGGCAGCAGACGAGCAACCAGGCUUCUCCAAUGCAAUGUGGCGAGAUUGGUCUCGUCACAUCUCUCCCCUUUUCCAAACAGACUAACAGGGUAUCUGACCUCCUGCCGGUCAGUGCCCUUGUUAGUCCAGCAGCCCACCCACAAAACACAAUCAACAGCACAGCCCACCCACAAUAAAUGGUUACUGCACCUGGG